AAUUAGUGUGACCAACUUGAAAAUUAGCAAGGGGAACUUUUUUGUCCUCUUGUGGCACUUCCAAUUUUACAAUUCCUAAUAAAAUUAUUGGAUUUUUUGGCAGAACAGUGGUAAACGUGCAUAACUUCAUAUACCAUUUGAUGUUAAAUCUCUUCAAGUAACAUCAUCCACAGGCUUUUUUACUCAUAAAUCAGAAACUAUUCUAUUCUAAACCCAUUUGAAGUUCCUGAGACUACCCAUGGUGAAUUAGCCUUCCAGGUCUAACUAAAAAUUGACGUCAUGAAUGAAUAUCUCCUUUACAGUGACACUUUGCCUGGAGCAACCUGGAGUUAAGUGCUUUGCUCAAGGGCACAAUGGAGAUGGUUCAUGGCUCACCUCUUGCAGGGAUCAAACAGAAACUUUGAGGUAACCAGCCCCGAGCCUAAACCUUUACACCACAGUCUCUGAAGGGUUUCACUGGGUUUUGUUUCCUUGGUUGUUCUUAUUUUAGGAAACUCUGAUGGUUUACUCUGGGAAGCAGAAGAGAGGUAAAUAUUCCACAGAAGAACAAUCUAUCAGAUAUCGCCAUUGUACCCUUAAGCGAGCAACCUGGGUCAUUUGAGACAGAAGUGCUAAAUGACUAUUUAAUGUGUUUUAAAGAAGUUCUUCUGCUUGACCAAGGUUUCAUCAUCAUCCUGGGAAGAGUUUCGGGAAUCAAAAUCUCUGCUCAGGGAAGAAAACCCAGUCCUGACCCGCACGUUUCAUGAGUCAUUCUGCCUUGAUCAGUUAUUCCUGGCGUGAUGUAGGCAGUGUAACAGGUGCACAGACACCAUGCUGACAUGUGCUGGCACCCAUCAAAGGGACGUCUUGUAAACCUGUCAGAGUUCGAGGACGCAAGAUCUAUCUUUGCGCCACCACACAAUGGAGACUAAGGCAUCAAUUAAUCCUGAAAUAACCCAAACGGCGAGGCUCAAGCGGCACAGAAGAAAAAUCGUAUCGGGAUUUGGAAAAAGCAUGUGGGCGAAAAAUCUUAAAAGCAAGAAAUCAGACCUUCAGUGGAAGCAAAAGCAACCACAGAUCUACACGUCAUGAUCAGAUCAGCUUCGGAUUAAGCAGGUAAACAGACCGACAGCCUGUCUCUCUCUGUCUGUUUCAUGUCUCUCAUAACCACAUGGAGAAACGUUCAUUAUUUUAGCAGUCCUUUUCUAUCUGAACCACUUUUGGAAGAGCAUGAAAGUGAGAGAGCGCGAUCGCACAGCAUCUCUCCACCCUGGCAUAAAUCCUGAUUAAUUAUUAUGCUCAAAUUACCAGGGAUCCUAAAGGGAAGAGAGAGAGACAGAAAAAAGGUUCAAAGCACAGCAGAAAUCUGAACCAGCUGUGCAAGCUUCAUUCGUCACAUCGUAAAAAGCAUUUUUUCGUAUUUUCAUUCUUAAUAACUGGGCUCGGUGCCUUUUAGUGAUUUGCAAAUGCACCCACAUAGAUAUUAUCAGCAAACAAACAUUCAAGGAGGUUU